CAUUAUAUCUCCAAAUAACAUUUGUAACGUAUAUAUUGGUUGGAUUUUUAUUUUACAAUUAACUUUUAAUUGUCUAAAUAUAAUUUACUAAAAUAUUAAUACUUAUUUUUUUUUUAACUCUUGGAAAUUCUUAUUGUUGGAAGUGCUUUUACUUGUAUAAUAAAAUCCUUAAACCGCAUUUGUUUUGUCUUAUAUAUAUGGCGUAUGUCAUAACUUUCGGUCCAUAUCCUUCCGUUUCUUUUUUUCCUCUCUUCGAAAUAUGCAUUCAACCCAAGUAGACGUUUGGUCUUUGAUAACUGUCCAGAUUUUUGACAAAAUAUAGUCGGAGAUUCACAUUCUCCACAUUUGACUUCUUGUGAAAAUCUUUGUUAUCAGUCUAGCGUCCUUUUCUUCUUGAACUUGAAUAUCACAUCUUCCUUCAAUGAUAGUUAUUGAUCGUGUUAGCCUUUUCACCAGUUCCACCAAAAUACUCUGGUAAGAAGCUCAGCUCAUGUGUCUUGAUACGACUCCUUUGCAUAUUAUUCUUUGUAAUUCCCAACUUUCAUUGUUAAAACCUGAGGUUCGCGAUUCCUCAUUUAUGGACCUUUAAAGAUUCACACAUCCCUUUUCACACCUACUCUAGUGGCUACUUAAAGUGAGUGUCUUUUCGAGGUGUUACUUCUGCUCAACUAUAGUUGCAAAUGAAGAUGUAAGAUGUACGUCAUGAAAUAGUCGCUGACGUAGUUGCUGAAGCAGACAUCGUAGUGAGUGGUGAAGACCAUGUGGAGUCAAGAUGCUGAGCUGGAGUCGUGUAGACUUGGAGAGCAAGGGAGUAUCUUGGAGAUAUGGAAAGAGGAAUAAACUUGAGGAGCAAGUUUAUGACUUAAAGAAAGAGGAAUAAGUGCAUUGCAAGAAAAGGAAAGUUGCACUUAUUGUUAUGGAAGAUGUCCAUACAUGUUGCCUUGGAGACUAGGGUUUCGGGAACAUGGAGAAUAACUAUAAGAUAGCUAUGGGGUCGUCUGUAUAGAGACAGAGACACGGAGGCUGAUCUUAUAGAGAGAGAGAGAGAAGCUCUUGGAGGUGUUCUUGGGUCGUACUGAAGCAGUGGCUGAAGUACUUGACGGAGAAGAGACAUAAGCGGGUAGCUUAGAAAUCUUUCAGUAGCGUGUGUUAGGGUGUUAACACUGACGUGUAAAAGCUGAAUAAGCAAGUCUCGUAAAGAUCGUUUAAAGGAGAUUCUAAUAAAAGCAUUGGUGUUUGCUUGUGUAUUUGUCUCUUGAUUUAUCUUCUGCACUAACAUAUUGUUGUGUCAUCUUGCACUAACAGCAGAUUCCUCAACUACUCUGCUGCACAGACACAAGAGAAAUACCUUAACUAAAUUUGUCAUGACGAUUUUCUUUACCUGAUAGUUUAUCCCUUGCUUUCUUCUUUUUCAUGCGCCAUGAUCCAGUCAACAUAAAACUUUCUCGAUAUCCUAUGAAUUUUUAGGCAAGAACUUUGAGGCUCACUCGCCCCUGCUCUAACUUCUUCCCAUGUAUUUUCUCUGUUAGUUAGUCCUUCGGAUUUUUUGUAGUAUGUAUCUUUUAUAGAAAAACAUCUUCAUCUUCAUCUUCAAUAACAUCUCUGAUGAAGUGCAACCUUGUAUUGAUGUGCUUAGUUCUCUAAGAAAUUAUCAUUUUUGUUAAGUGUAUAUCAAUCACUCUACGAGUUUUUUUUUUUGGGUGUAAAAUCACUCUACGAGUUUUGAGAACCACACUUACAUUCUCAUGUGUUAUACCCAAAUCACUAAUCUACCUUUUAACCACAAAGCCUUCUUGUAAGCUUCUAUCAGAACCAUGCAUUCUGAUUCAGUAGUAGAUAGUACUACUAUGUGUUGAAGUCUCGAUCUCCAACUGAUAGUGUUUCCUCAAAUUUGAAAUACAUACAACAAAAAAACUCAAUAAAUUAUUAAUAUUAGUAUUAUAAUAUUUUAUUAAUGUAUAGAAUUAUUAAUUUAUAUAAAUUUUGUAGAUUUAUAUUUUUUGAAUUACAUUUUCAUAUAAAACUAAGAAGAAAAAUUAAAUUUUGAAGGUAUAUGUUGGUUAAAUUUUACAAAUACAAAUUUCAUUUUGUUUUUAUUCGAUUAUUUAGUGUAUAUCUGUACUUUAAAUGUAGAGGCAUGUUUAGGUGUCAAAUACAAAAAAAUUAAUAUCAAAUGUUAAAGUGUUUAGAACAAUUAAAGAUGGACGUCAUUAUGGAUAAGAAAACAAAUAAUAUGAUAUUUGUUUUACAUUUAUAUAAAUUUUAUAUGCAUUAGUUAUUAAUUUAUGUUAUCUGGAACAUAUAGUUGCACAAGAUUUUUAAAAUCUUAUUAUGUUAUCGAAUUAUGUUAUAUAUAUUUUACAUAUCCAACCUAGAAUUAUCAUGUUACCGAUCAUCUUCUUUUGAGAUCAGUAGCUAGUAUGCAUAUGGAAAUCCUUCUUCCAUAAACUUUGAGUUUCUAGUGAAUGCCAGACUUAAUCUUAAAGUUCUUUUUAGUUAUAUUAGUAUCCACUUUACCACUUUCCAGUGCAGCCUUCCUAAACAAUUCAUAAAUAUACUAAUCACACCCAUCAUGUGUGCUAAAUAAGGCCUCUAACCUACCAUGACAUACUUGAGUGAUCCUACUGCAUUGGCAUUAUUGCAUAUAAGAAAAUUUACUCAUCAAACUUAUAUAUGUUAGAGGCCUUAUUUAUGAAUUGUGCAUUAUUGACAUAUUUGAACCCAAAAACGUACUUAUCGUGUUUGCUUUGCUCAUGUGGAACGUCAUAGGUACGUACGUACUUUCUCAAUGUACUUUUUGUGAUAUUUUAGAACCCAUUUUUCUAUGUCCCUAAUAAUAUCAGUUCUAAGGAUCUUAGUUGCAGCUCCUAGAUCCUUCAUUUCAAAUUCAGCCAUGAAGCCUUGCUUUAGCUUCUUGAUCCCCCAUUAAAUUAUUCGACACUAAUAGCAUUUUUUUUGGUGUAACACUAAUAGCAUAUUAUCGACGUACAUCAAUAGAUAUACUGAUUCAUGUAUAUUUAAGUAUGAAAAACAAACGGACAAAUCAUAAAAUUUCCUUAUGUAUCUUUGUUCCUUUUUCAUUGUAUGGGAGACUGUUUUAGUCUGUACAUGAACUUCUUCAACCUGCACACCAGAUCCUCCUUACUUUUCACAUGCGAACACAGACUGUUAUAACAUCCAACUGCUCUAUAUCAUAGGAAUCAAAGAAGUGAGGUGUGAAUCUGACUCCUCACAGCUUAUCAAAGCCAUCACUGAAGGAAACACAGUCAUAAAGAUCUAUGGAUCGUAUCUGUAAUUUUUCUUUUGGGCUGAAUGUGUUGACCCAUAUCUUUUAAUUGGAUCUCCCUUCAAAUUAACUUUGUAGCAGACAGCUUGGCAAAACAUGGCUUAUAAGGUGAUAGUGCUGUAACUGGCUAACGCUGUUAUGGCAACCACCUAAUCUCUGUUUUGCAUAUUAAUGGAAGUUUGUGUUUCAAAAAGAAAAAAAAUCUUGUGUAGAGCGAAACAAGACAUUACAUACGUUGCAAUAGCUUGUAGCACGGAUUUAAGCAAAAAUUAUUUUCCCUCUUUGAUAAAUGUUCGAAUUCAGAUAUACUAUUACAAAAUAAGACGUAUUCGUUGUAUUUUUUUGCUGAUGAUUAGGAAGAACUCGACUAAUAUUACUAAUAUACAAAAAAAAAACUGGGUGAAAGACACGAGGAAGAAAAGGAAAAAUGGUGACCAGAGCUAAAGCUUGUAAGCCUACUAUUAUAAUCUAGAGUCGAAUAUCCAAAUGUAUCCAAGUUGUAAUCCAAAAAACCAAAGUAAUAUCAUUACUUAGAUGCUGGAGGACUUUUUCUUGAAUUAAUUAAGCCUUUUAACCGUAGUUCUAGGUACUCAACCAGUUACUGGUUACCGAAACGUCAAAUUAUGUUGGAAGUUUAUGAAUGACUGAUUGUGAAACAUGAUUUAAUUCAGAUGAGUCUAACUAGAUUCUACUAAAUAUAGCCAAUGCUGACAAAGAUUUCGUGAAAAGAAUUAUGGAACCUAGUGAAAAUUUUAUUAAUGAUACAACAAAUCUUUAGUGUUUUGUAACUAUUUAUAAAUCAUAAUUAUAUAUACAACAUUAGUUCAGUGUUUGUAUAAAGCCUCAUGAACCUUAGGCACAACAUGCUCAGUACUAAUAUAAAGUUAUAAACUAAGCCACCUGACCUUUGGCACAAGAUUAUUUAUUCACUGAAAAAACUUCAGCUAAGAUAAAAACAAACAAAAGUGUUACAAAAGAAAAAGUGUUACAAAAAAAAUAAAAAUAAAAAAUGAUAAAAAAUGUAGCUUUAAUCUAUAUAUCUGCUACAUUGAUUCCUUAAUCUAAAGAACUCCAACAUGUAGCUUUAAUCAUCUAAGAUCUGAAUUGGUAAAACUUAUUCAACCGUGUUCUCUGAAAGUCGUAUUAUGUUGGUUGCCAUUUAAAUUAUUAUAUUGUUGCCAUGUUAAAUUGUAGCUUUCAUUAUCUAGAAGUUUGAAAUGGUAAGAUGUUGAUUACACCGGCAUCCUUGAAGUUAUAUUAUGUUGGGAGUUAUUUAAAACACUAGGGGUAUAGCUUCCCGCGCAAACGCGGAGUCGGGUACGUUAGAUGUAUUGUGUAGUUUUAUGUAUGAUUUUUUUUUUAACUUUUCCGUGUUGUAUAUAAUCUAUAUUAUAAUAGAUCGAUUAGGUUGAUAUGAGAAUAACCGGUGAUUUCUUAUGUGUUGAUAUUUCACAUCUUAUGUGUAGACGUCUAAAAGAGUUUCCGAUUUAUCUUCAUGAAUUCGACAUCUAGCAACAUUUUCACCAUAAAUAUGUCGGACAGAGAUCCAUAUAUCCGCUGAGAUUCAACAUCUAAUACGCUGACUAAUUUCCAUCCUCAUUAGCUAUCCGGUAAAUCCGCAAGCUGUGCAAGUAUAAGAAAAUAAUUAUCUACCACGGUUUAGAAACUCCAAACAAUAGUGAAACCUUUUAUUAGACAUAGAGCAAGAAAAUAUACAUAACCCUAUAAAUAUGAUCAAGGCGAGAUCUUUUAACAGAAAUAAAAAAUUAAUCUCCAUGUGCUCAUCUCAGGUCUAUGCGAACCCUUUUAUUCCGUCCAAGAAGCUGUGUUUUUCAUUUGUUGUUCCUGUAGUUGUCGGCUGUGUAAACGAUUUUGUUCACCUCCUCCUUGAAACUACCAAUGUGUUUUAAUUCGGAUUUGAAGUCUGGAAAAUUAGUGAAUCCCUCCAUGGCAUAUAUGUCUUAGUGGACAACUUCAGAAAGUAGAACAAACAACAAAGAAUAGUUAUAUUAAUCAAGUUUUCUGUAGGACUAUGAAAUUCUAUCAAUUUAAAGAGUUGCAAUGAUACGCGGCACUGAGGUGAGAGUUAAGCGACGAAGUGGGAGAACUCUAGGUCCUAGCUUAGAGACGGUGAAAAGGAAUAGACGAUUAGGAUGCUUCUUUGGGCCUGUCAGACGUCAGCUUUACCUUUUAAGGCUUAUGUAGAAAUUGGGUCCGAUAUGCCGUGAGUUAAUUAAAAUGACCCAACAACCAUUAAUUCAUUAAACAACCCUUUUCAAAAACUCAUCGCUGAGGGCCGUAAAAUCACCAGAAAACGUAACUCGGACACCAACGGUGACGAUUUAGACUGAUUCGGUUCGAAAAUCAAGAUUCUUAAAAAGAAAUUAUUUUUUACUCGUUUCAUCCUAUAAUCGAGUAGUAUAUAUACAGAUUUAUGAUGUUUUCAUGAAAACGACAAAACAAAGAAAUUGAUGUAUACCUCGUGAAAAAUUAUGAGCCGUCGGAGUCAAUAUUGCAGAAAAUCUAAAAGUCUAAAGAGGAAAACGAGUUGUAAAAAUCAUAAUUGCCUUUAGUUAAAUUUAAUCAUAAAAACAUACAAAACACCCAUGGUUUCUAUUCGAACCCAGAUUGUUAGUCUUUUUAAAGAUGUGUAAAUCGCUGCACUAAGUGAUAUUUAUUGUAAAUUUUUACGAAUUUUUAUAUAUAAAAUAGGCUUUGAAUCACUCCCAGCUAUGCCACAUAGGAUGCCAGCGCACAAAUUGGGUUCAGGAGCGUCCAACACGCGUCCACUUUAAGUUGUGGUCUGCGUUUCAUCUGUAUUUGUUUUUGUAUGAUGGGCUGGAAAAGUGUUGGGCUAAGUUUUAUUUAAUAUCGGCCCGUAACCUGAUAAAAAAAACCUAAAAUUUUGGCUUUGUCAUCUUCUUCUUCAUUGUAGAGAGACUUUUCAUCUUCGUGCAUCCGUUUCUUUCUUCUCCGUGUUUACUCCCCCCUUAAUUCAAUCACCACGAUAUAGCCUUGAAUGCGUGCUUUGAUUAGGAGUCGGUGAAUAUGAGAGUAUAAAUAGGUGAGCAUUCUUUCUCUUACGAUCAUCUUAUCGGCGGCGGAGAAGGCUAUGUCUGUCUGCGAGCUCAAAGAACAUCACACCGACGCUACAGAGACGGUUAACAACCUCUGUAAUAAGCUUAGACAGAGACACCUCCAGCUCCUUAAUACAGAUGUGGCCAAGUACUCGGUGGCGCAGAUUGGUACCUUCUAACUCCUACUCUUAUCUGGAAAGUCUCAAAACCGAGCCUGGUGAGACAGAUUCAUCUCAGCGUUUGGUUUCUGAGCGCGGGAGCUAGCCAGAACAAUCGGUCUCGCAAGAUAAAAGAACUCGACAAGAAGGUGAGACACAAGUUGUGAGAUACAAAUUAUGUUUUGUUGACAUGUGAUCAAGCCAGUGAUUGAUGAAUCCUUGACACAUAUCACUAACAUUAUCUAUAGGCUAAAAGCUCAACGAAGAAGAAGAAUAAAAAGCUUGGAAUAGAAUGAGAAGCUUUUCAUAUAUUCAUGUUAGAGCUCGAGUAACUUAGCAUCUCACAUAUUUGCACAACUCUUUUUUUUAAUCUUAAUCAGUUGAUUAAUUGCUAAUUCACUACUAAUUUUCAGAUUAUAAGAGAGAAGGGAGAAGAUUAGUGCAUGGAUGAAGCUGCUACAGGAACUGGUCCCAGACUGUGAUAAAGUUUGUCUCUCAGAUAAUGACUUCUGAUCAAUAUGCUAAUUAAUCUUUAUGUCUUCGUUUGUGCUUAACGACAUAAUAUUUUCUGAAAAGACACCCUAAAAGUAAGAAUAUUGGUUUGAUGAUAUAGUUUCUUUUUGUUAAUUAAUCAAUUUUUUUUCUAGAUUUCUUAAUUGCUUUUUAUGAAGAAGAGUGGUUUCUCGUGUGCCAAAGAGGCCUUAAAGAUCUUAACUAUAUUGUUUCUGUGUUAGUGUGUUGGGAGAAGUAUCCUCACAGGAAAACUUCAGGAUUGAAAUCAGAAUGCUGCCUUCGUCAAGAAGAUAGUAAUAAAAGUUUUGGAAAUGACUUGAGAGACGAUUUGAGUAGGGAAAGCUUAAUCCUUUCGCACAUGCUCUGUUUUUUUCGUAAAAAGAGAGUCCUUCUGUCUUUCUUUCUUAAUCCCUUCGUUCGUGUAUUUUCCUAAUAUGUUGGGAUUCUUUUGGUCUAUGAGUCAUUAAAUGAGUUUAUCUUAAUAUGCUAUCAAAUUGUUCCAGAAGAGAACGUCUUUCCCAUCCAGUGACCAAAUAUUUGAUGAUU